rnacentral:RNase_P_RNA from 1 species
CGAAGCAGACCAGAUGGCCGCCGUCCCCCGUAGCCUUGUGCGAAGGGGGAGGGAGGAAAGUCCGGGCUCCACAGGGCAUGGUGCUGGAUAACGUCCAGCGGGGGCAACCCCAGGGAAAGUGCCACAGAGAGAAGUCCGCCCUCCGAAGCCUUGGCGAAGGGGGGUAAGGGUGAAAGGGUGAGGUAAGAGCUCACCGGGUUCGGCGGCGACGCCGGAUGCCAGGUAAACCCCACCAGGAGCAAGACCAAAUAGGGAAGCGCCAAGGACGGCCCGUCCGUGCUUCCGGGUUGGUUGCUUGAGGGUGUCGGCAACGGCACUCCUAGAUGAAUGACCAUCGCCCGCCUCCGGGUAACCGGUUGCGGGAACAGAACCCGGCUUACGGGCUGCUUCGGCCA